rnacentral:rRNA from 1 species
AUUGAACGCUGGCGGCAGGCCUAACACAUGCAAGUCGAGCGGAUGAAGGGAGCUUGCUCCUGGAUUCAGCGGCGGACGGGUGAGUAAUGCCUAUGAAUCUGCCUGGUAGUGGGGGAUAACGUCCGGAAACGGGCGCUAAUACCGCAUACGUCCUGAGGGAGAAAGUGGGGGAUCUUCGGACCUCACGCUAUCAGAUGAGCCUAGGUCGGAUUAGCUAGUUGGUGGGGUAAAUGCCUACCAAGGCGACGAUCCGUAACUGGUCUGAGAGGAUGAUCAGUCACACUGGAACUGAGACACGGACCAGACUCCUACGGGAGGCAGCAGUGGGGAAUAUUGGACAAUGGUCGAAAGCCUGAUCCAGGCAUGCCGCGUGUGUGAAGAAGGUGUUCGGAUUGUAAAGCACUUUAAGUUGGGAGGAAGGGCAGUAAGUUAAUACCUUGCUGUUUUGACGUUACCAACAGAAUAAGCACCGGCUAACUUCGUG